UUAAAAGUGAAAAACAUAUUAUUACCCUACUUAAAGGGUUGAAAAGGUCUUGUUUGGAGUUGUGUGGGGUUGAAUUAAUAUAGCUGUGAUAUUUCAAAAGUUGGCAGAAAAGAAAAAAAUAAAAAGAAUAGAAAAAAAAACUUUAAAAAAAGAGGGAAAAAAAGGAUGACAAUUCAUAUUACUGUCAUGCUCCUUCUAGAAAAAAAGAAAAAGAAAAAAAGAAGAUAGGAAAAGAGAAAUUGAUUGCAAAAUUGUUGUUAGAAAAGUGAAUAAAAUUUUAGUUCAACUCCCUCAAUUUCUUUCAAUUUUCUUUUGUCCCUUUAAAUUUUAGCCCAGUACCCUUUAGGA
rnacentral:lncRNA from 1 species